UACAGAGGGUGCGAGCGUUGUCCGGAAUCACUGGGCGUAAAGGGCGCGUAGGUGGUGGCUUAAGCGUGCGGUGAAAGCUCGGGGCUCAACUCCGAGUCGGCCGUGCGAACUGGGCUCACUGGAGCAUAGUAGAGGCAGGUGGAGUUCCGGGUGUAGCGGUGGAAUGCGUAGAGAUCCGGAAGAACACCGGUGGCGAAGGCGGCCUGCUGGGCUAUGGCUGACACUGAGGCGCGACAGCGUGGGGAGCGAACAGG
rnacentral:rRNA from 1 species